rnacentral:rRNA from 1 species
AUGGAUCCUCGCCGCCGGCAAAUCCAAGGCAGCCAUGCAUCAAUUGGUUCAUUUGCUGAAGAAAAGCGCUCACAAGUGGAUGCUUCUCAAAUUGGCAACAAGUUAAGAUAUUCAGGCUCACACCUUCCGGAGGAUAUCUGGCGUCAUAUAUGCUACUUUCUGCCACUGAAAGAUGCUGCGCGUGCUGCUUGUGUUUCUCGCGCGUUUCGAAGUUCGUGGAGUUGCCAUCCUAACCUCACCUUCAGUAAGGAAACACUGGGCUACGGUCCUCCUGCAUGGUCCAGAAAAAGAGAAGUGAUGGACUACAUGGAAAAUGCACGUACACAGAGAAAAACAGCAGGAGAUUACAACAGCAGAGUUGACCACAUUCUGAGAAACCACUCAGGCACCGGUGUGAAGACACUCAGCCUUGGAUUCUAUGGUCCUUACAAUGCCAACACCAGCUACUGUCUCGAUGGUUGGCUCCAGAUUGCUGUUACACCAGGCAUAGAAGAACUCAGCCUCAUACUGCAUUCAAAAAGUGAUCAUUUAUCAAAAAAGGCAAUCUACAACUUUCCAUGCCCACUUUUAUCUAAUGGCAGUGGAAACACCAUUCGUGAGCUACACCUUGUAGGUUGCGCCUUCCGCCCCACAGCAGGAUUCGGUUGCAUGAGAAGCCUGACCAGUCUGUAUCUGUGUUGCGUGAACAUCGAGAGCGCUGAGCUGGGGUUCCUUCUAUCCAGUUCUGUUGCUUUGGAGCGAUUGGAACUCACCAGUUGCAGUGAGAUAAUUUCCAUAAAGAUACCUGCCCGGCUGAAGUGCCUCAGCUAUCUGAAGGUGUCCCAGUGUUCCAUGCUGCAAGUGAUUGAAAGCAAAGCCCCAAAUAUCUCCAGUUUUCACUUUGUUGGUGAACAGGUACAGCUAUUUCUUGGAGAAUCAUCGCAGGUGAAGACAAUUUUCAUAUCACAUUCCUGUGUUCUUCAUUAUGCUCGUGCCAUGCUCCCGUCAAGUACGCCAAAUCUUGAAACUCUUAACAUAGUUUCGACUGGUGAGAUGAUCAGUACACCAAUGCUACCAAGCAAAUUCCUCCACCUCAAAUAUUUGACAAUAACUGGAUGGACCAUCGCCACGACCUAUGAUAUUUUCUCGUUGGUUUCGUUUCUUGACGCGUCUCCUUGCCUGGAGACUUUCUGCCUAAACGCAUCAAGGAGACGCCAGAAGCAUGACUCCAUCUUUGAAGAUCCCUCACAUUUGGAGCGGACUCCGGGACACUGCUACGGCAAUCUGAGGCAUGUGAAGAUCACUAGUUUCUGCUCCUCUAAGCUUCUGGUUAAGCUCACAUGUCAUAUUCUUGAGAAUACACCAUCGCUCGAGUGCCUCACACUCGACAUAACUCAUGGUGGGUUGAAGUGUUCUGACAAAAGAUUUAGCAAAUGCUCAGUUGUAAGGAAGGCCACUCUUGUGGAAGCCCCUAAAGCACUCGAGGCUAUCCGUGCUUACAUCGCAGGAAAAGUUCCCUCCACGGCUAAGUUAAUUGUCUUGGAGCCUUGCAACCAAUGUAAUACCGUUGGCAUUUAG